rnacentral:rRNA from 1 species
GACGAACGCUGGCGGCGUGCUUAACACAUGCAAGUCGAACGGAAAGGCCCUGCUUUUGUGGGGUGCUCGAGUGGCGCACGGGUGAGUAACACGUGAGUAACCUGCCCUUGACUUUGGGAUAACUUCAGGAAACUGGGGCUAAUACCGGAUAGGAGCUCCUGCUGCAUGGUGGGGGUUGGAAAGUUUCGGCGGUUGGGGAUGGACUCGCGGCUUAUCAGCUUGUUGGUGGGGUAGUGGAUUACCAAGGCUUUGACGGGUAGCCGGCCUGGGAGGGUGACCGGCCACAUUGGGACUGAGAUACGGCCCAGACGCCUACGGGAGGCAGCAGGGGGGAAUCUUGCAGAAUGGCCGGAAGCCAGAUGCGGCGGCGCCGCGUUCGGGAUGAUGGCCUUCGAGGUGUAAACCGCUUUCGCCUGUGACGAAGCGUGAGUGACGGUAAUGGGUAAAGAAGCACCGGCUAACUACGUG